AGAGACAGCAGCAGCCACGGUAAUACGUAGGUGGCAAGCGUUGUCCGGAAUUAUUGGGCGUAAAGGGCUCGCAGGCGGUUUCUUAAGUCUGAUGUGAGAGCCCCCGGCUCAACCGGGGAUGGUCAUUGGAAACUGGGAAACUUGAGUGCAGAAGAGGAGAGUGGAAUUCCACGUGUAGCGGUGAAAUGCGUAGAGAUGUGGAGGAACACCAGUGGCGAAGGCGACUCUCUGGUCUGUAACUGACGCUGAGGAGCGAAAGCGUGGGGAGCGAACAGGAUUAGAUACCCCAGUAGUCCCUGUCUCUUAUAA
rnacentral:rRNA from 1 species